rnacentral:rRNA from 1 species
CCAAUAGCGUAUAUUAAAGUUGUUGCAGUUAAAAAGCUCGUAGUUGAAUUUCGGGAUCAGUACGUCGGUCGUGCCUUGGUACGUACUGGCGUCGCUGAUUUCUCCCUUCUGACGAACCGUGAUGCCAUUAAUUUGGUGUUGCGGGGAAUCAGGACUGUUACUUUGAAAAAAUUAGAGUGUUUAAAGCGGGCACGCGCUUGAAUACAUUAGCAUGGAAUAACGAAAUAGGACGUUCGAUCUUAUUUUGUUGGUUUCUAGGAUUGACGUAAUGAUUAAUAGGGAUAGUUGGGGGCAUUAGUAUUCAAUUGUCAGAGGUGAAAUUCUUGGAUUUAUUGAAGACUAACUACUGCGAAAGCAUUUGCCAAGGAUGUUUUCAUUAAUCAAGAACGAAAGUUAGGGGAUCGAAGACGAUCAGAUACCGUCGUAGUCUUAACCAUAAACUAUGCCGACUAGGGAUCGGAUGAUGUUAAUUUUAUAAUGACUCAUUCGGCGCCUUACG